rnacentral:rRNA from 1 species
AGGGGGCUAGCGUUGCUCGGAAUGACUGGGCGUAAAGGGCGCGUAGGCGGCUUGUAUAGUCGGAUGUGAAAUUCCUGGGCUUAACCUGGGGGCUGCAUACGAGACGUAUGGGCUUGAGUGCGGAAGAGGGUCGUGGAAUUCCGAGUGUAGAGGUGAAAUUCGUAGAUAUUCGGAGGAACACCAGUGGCGAAGGCGACUGCCUGGACGAACAUUGACGCUGAGGCGCGAAGGCUAGGGGAGCAAACGGG